rnacentral:rRNA from 1 species
CCUACGGGAGGCAGCAGUGGGGAAUAGUGCACAAUGGGGGAAACCCUGAUGCAGCGACGCCGCGGGAGUGAAGAAGGAGUGCGGAAUGUAAAGCUCGAGCAGCAGGGAAGAAAAUGACGGUACCUGAUUAAGAAGCCCCGGCUAACGACGUGCCAGCAGCCGCGGUAACACGUAGGGGGCAAGCGUUAUCCGGAUUUACUGGGUGUAAAGGGAGCGUAGACGGCAGCACAAGUCUGGAGUGAAAUGCCGGGGCUUAACCCCGGAACUGCUUUGGAAACUGUGCAGCUAGAGUGCAGGAGAGGUAAGUGGAAUUCCUGGUGUAGCGGUGAAAUGCGUAGAUAUUAGGAGGAACACCAGUGGCGAAGGCGGCUUACUGGACUGUAACUGACGUUGAGGCUCGAAAGCGUGGGGAGCAAACAGGAUUAGAUCCCCCGGUAGUC